rnacentral:misc_RNA from 1 species
UACCCUUUAUCAAUAAUUUUAGUUGGGGUCGGUGAUGGACCUUGGGACAUGAUGAGAGAGUUUGAUGAUAAUAUCCCUGCUCGAGCCUUCGAUAAUUUUCAGUUUGUGAAUUUCACAGAAAUAAUGUCAAAAAAUGUGAACGCAUCCAGAAAAGAGAUAGAGUUUGCGCUUGCAGCAUUGAUGGAAGUACCUGCUCAAUACAAACAUUGAGCUUGGCAUAUUGGGUCAACGGUCAGGGAAUGCUCCAGAGAGGGUUC